CUUGUUCAAAGAGUCUCCUGGACUGGGUGCGGCUGGGCUGGAGCGUGAGGCAGGAAGCCCGGGCAGAGAGGAGGCAGAAGCAAAAGGAAGAAAGAAGAGAGGUGGGGCAGAGGAAGAAAAGAAGGAUCACUAAAGACCAUCCUGGAUUCACUAUGAGUUCGCUGUCUCCACUUGAUCGUGCCCUGGAUUCAACACUACUCAACUGUUCUCCAAGAAUCACUUUGCUCUGCACGUUCUAUUUCCUCUCCUCUCACCAGGUGAACAAUCCUCCAACUUGCUUCCCAGUGGAAACUCCUAAGUCGGGGAGGGAGUGCAUCUGGCUCAUCCAGGGGAUCCCUGCUCAGGCAGAGCAUGCAUGAGCUUUUCCAGCCAGAUCCCCUCGUAUGCAUUUGGGCACUGUAGGAUUUGGCUGGCUUCAGAUGGCAGAGAAGGUUUGUUUAGCAAGUUUCCAGAACACCAGGAGUGAAAUGGAAAGCUGGAGGCUGCGAGGAGAAGAAGGAGACAGGAGAAGCUGUCCUGGUGACUCAAGGAGGCAAUGUGGUGCUUUGUCCAGAGCCACUGAGAUGCACCCACAGCCUGUCUUCCUAGGACAGCCAGCCCUUGGCCUGUCGGACCCUCUUUUCCCAGAUGUGUGGGGGACUGAACCUGUCUGGAACUUUACAUCCCCUCCUAGACUGCCCCCAACCACCAGAGUUGGUCACAAGAGACUGGCCCUUGGUCCCUUCCCUGCAGUGCGACAACUCCUUAGUGGGACCAGGCCAGGGUUAUCCUCCAAGGUCCUUGUCUGAGAUCACACCCUGCCUGGCUUCCUCCCACCCCUGUCCAACUUCCUCCCCUUCCUUAUCGUUUUCCGGGAGCCACACUUCCUUUGGAAAUUCCUUAUAUGUGAACCUUCAUCUUCGAAUUUGCUUUGGGAUAGGGAAGGGGAAAUCUCACCAAUUUUUUUUUUUUUUUUAAGAAGGGAGGGCAGGCCUACAAGAGUUUUGCACCAUCCACAUGUGGAGGGCGGUGAUCUUGUCGGCAUCAUAUAGUUAGAUACUCAGAUGCCUCCUGGUCAGAAAAUUAAAGGGGACAAGAGGAAAUGAUACUGUCCACGCAGCAAGGAAAUGGCCACGGCAGAGCCAGGAGGCUUUGCUUUUGGACUGCGUACAUAUGUGCUCAUGUCUCCAACCUGCUCUGAGAACUGAGCCCUGAGCCAGCAGGUCUGGAGUGGAAGUGGAGGUAAAAAUACACCACGUGCCUGAAAGAUGAAACUGGCCUGAGUGCACUGCAUCCGUCACUGACUUCCUGGCUGGGAGGACUGGCUGGGCAGGAGAGGCAGGGAGGGGAUGCUGUUGGGCCAGGAAAAGUAAAAGUACAAACACAAUACUGGGUGGGCUGGCUUGCCCGAUGGGGAAGCAUGCUCAGGUUGUGUACUGCCAUAGGAUCUGAAAGAGAAAAGAAAAUUUGACAUAGCAAGAGAGAGAUUGAAAGAUAUGCAGAGGCCAAGAGAUUUGUGGACACAUAUGAAAGCUAAGACACACAAAGACAAACUAAGAAAAGGAGAGACAAGGAGAGAGACCCAGAGAAAAUUGCCAAGGGAUAAUCUUGGCGACUCCGAGGGGUGCAGGCAGCAUCCAGAGCUGAAGAUGGUACAGCCAGCCCCAGCCCUUCCAACCAGUGAACAAAACUGCAGAUCUGUAGUCCACCCUGAAUCCAAGUGGAGGGUCCCAACAUCUGAGAGAGUAUUCAGGCCAGGUGCAGAGC